AACGCGAAGAACCUUACCUAGGCUUGACAUGCAGAUGACGUUACCAGAGAUGGUAAUUCCCUUCGGGGCGUCUGCACAGGUGCUGCAUGGCUGUCGUCAGCUCGUGCCGUGAGGUGUUGGGUUAAGUCCCGCAACGAGCGCAACCCUUAUCAUUAGUUGCCAACAGUUUCGGCUGGGUACUCUAAUGAGACUGCCUGGGUUAACCAGGAGGAAGGCGAGGAUGACGUCAAGUCCGCAUGGCCCUUAUGUCUAGGGCUACACACGUGCUACAAUGGCCGGUACAGAAGGCAGCAAAGCCGCGAGGUAGAGCAAAUCCUUUAAAGCCGGUCCCAGUUCAGAUUGUAGUCUGCAACUCGGCUACAUGAAGUUGGAAUUGCUAGUAAUGGCGCGUCAGCAACAGCGCCGUGAAUACGUUCCCGGGCCUUGUACACACCGAGACGAC
rnacentral:rRNA from 1 species